CUACGGGUGGCUCCAGUGAGGAAUAUUGCACAAUGGGGGGAACCCUGAUGCAGCAACGCCGCGUGGAGGAUGAAGCAUUUCGGUGUGUAAACUCCUUUUAUAUGUCAAGAAAAUGACGGUAGCAUAUGAAUAAGCACCGGCUAACUCCGUGCCAGCAGCCGCGGUAAUACGGAGGGUGCAAGCGUUACUCGGAAUCACUGGGCGUAAAGGACGCGUAGGCGGGUUGGAAAGUCAGGUGUGAAAUCCUACAGCUUAACUGUAGAACUGCACUUGAAACUUCUAAUCUAGAGUAUGGGAGGGGGAGAUGGAAUUAGUGGUGUAGGGGUAAAAUCCGUAGAUAUCACUAGGAAUACCUAACGCGAAGGCGAUCUCCUGGAACAUUACUGACGCUAAGGCGUGAAAGCGUGGGGAGCAAACAGGAUUAGAUACCCUUGUAGUC
rnacentral:rRNA from 1 species